UAAUAAGAAGCAAAUAUAUUGCAUUUAGUUUCGACCUAAAAGUUUGGUAAAAAUACCCUUAUUUU
rnacentral:tRNA from 1 species